AGAAUCAACGCUGGCGGCGUGCCUAACACAUGCAAGUCGAACGCGAAAGCCCCGCAAGGGGCAAGUAGAGUGGCAAACGGGUGAGUAACACGUGGGUGACCUGCCUCCGAGCGGGGAUAACGUCCCGAAAGGGACGCUAAUACCGCAUAACAUCCUGCCUUUGAAGAGGCGGAGAUCAAAGCUGGGGAUCGCAAGACCCGGCACUUGAAGAGGGGCCCGCGCCUGAUUAGCUAGUUGGUGGGGUAAUGGCCUACCAAGGCAACGAUCAGU
rnacentral:rRNA from 1 species